UACGUAGGGUGCAAGCGUUUGUCCGGAAUUAUUGGGCGUAAAGAGCUCGUAGGCGGUUUGUCGCGUCUGGUGUGAAAAAUCAGGGGCUUAACCCCUGGACCUGCAUCGGGGUACGGGGCAGACUAGAGUGCGGUAGGGGAGAUCGGAAUUCCUGGUGUAGCGGUGAAAAUGCGCAGAUAUCAGGAGGAACACCGGUGGCGAAGGCGGAUC
rnacentral:rRNA from 1 species